rnacentral:misc_RNA from 1 species
CAGCAAAAUCAGGAAUGCCACCCAAUCUUGAUUUGAUCAAGCAGCUAGAUAGUAAAGCAGUCAAACAAGGGAAAAAAGCUGAUACGUUUUCCUUGGGUCGUUCCUCUCAAGCUCCUUUGUUACAGCUGAAAGAUGUAGUGUCGACCACUGGAGAUCUGCGUUGGGCAGUUCCAAAACCAGUUAUGAUCCAAUCGGGUGUUAGUUCCAGAUCUGUGUCACCUUUCUCUAGGAAGCCAAGUCCGCCACGCUCAGCAACACCUGUACCUACCACUGCAGGACUUUCAUUCUCCAAAAGCAUUGCUGACAGUUUGAAGAAGACCAAUGAGCUUUUAAAUCAGGAAGUUCACAAACUACGGGCUCAGGUUGAGAACCUGAGACAUCGUUGUGAACUUCAGGAG